rnacentral:tRNA from 1 species
GUGGGUAUAGCUCAGUGGUAGAGCACAUGCUUAGCAUGCACGAGGUCCUGGGUUCAAUCCCCAGUACCUUCA